CUCAAAGGAAAAUGGGCGGCGUUUCUCUAAUAGGGUUUCAAAGGAAACAGUUUCAUGGUCAUUCGAUGGCUGCUAGAUUAUGAUUGGGGUGGGAGAGUAGGAACUCUGAACGAUUGGCUGGAGGUUAUUUUUUCAGUGGAGCUCUAGAUCUUGAAUUGUUUGUGUGCGUUUGCUGUGUUUUCUGGUUAUAGAAGAGAAUCCACCAAUAAACAUCGAUCUCAUAUGCAAUUGCCUUUAUGGAACUUCAAUUGAUGAUUCUGUUCAACCGGAUAUGGUAUUCACUUCUUUUGAUUGUCCUCUAUCGUGGAACACUACAGGUAUGUCAAUGAAUAUUCCAAUUGGAACACUGCCAAUUGUAACUUGAUAUGUGAAAGAGGUGCACUUUUCUUUCAGGAAGAGCUAUAAUUCACACCUUGUGUACAAUGGUGAAAUCUUGUUUAGAGAACAUUAUUAGAGAUGCUGAUGUAUCUGAUAAUAAGAUAAAGGCUGCAAAAAUAGCAAAGGUUCAGAUUAUUCUCAAUGAUUAAGAAAAUUUUCUGAGUUCUUGGCUUUCCUAAUCCCUUCAAGUAUUGCUGGCUUUGAUUACAAGAUUAUAAACUGUACAUGUCUGAAGGGUUAUAUUGAUGAUCUUAGACUAUACUUUUGUAUAAAAACUUGCAUUCUAUGAUGUUUAUUUUAAGUGAAUGGUAUUAUAUAAUAGCCUUAUUAUAUAAUUGAGAGUCCAGAAACUCAGUUGCGACAGUCUAUGGUUGUCGUAAUUUUUUUUAUUCA